AACGAACGCUGGCGGCAUGCCUAACACAUGCAAGUCGAACGAGACCUUCGGGUCUAGUGGCGCACGGGUGCGUAACGCGUGGGAAUCUGCCCUUAGGUUCGGAAUAACUUCGGGAAACUGAAGCUAAUACCGGAUGAUGACGUAAGUCCAAAGAUUUAUCGCCUAAGGAUGAGCCCGCGUUGGAUUAGCUAGUUGGUGAGGUAAAGGCUCACCAAGGCGACGAUCCUUAGCUGGUCUGAGAGGAUGAUCAGCCACACUGGGACUGAGACACGACCCAGACUCCUACGGAGGCAGCAGUGGGAAUAUUGGACAAUGGGCGAAAGCCUGAUCCAGCAAUGCCGCGUGAGUGAUGAAGG
rnacentral:rRNA from 1 species